GAACGCUGGCGGCGUGCCUAAUACAUGCAAGUCGAACGAGGGUAGCAAUACUCGAGUGGCGAACGGGUGAGUAACACGUAGGUAACCUGCUUACAGUUUGGGAUACCCGAGGGAAACCUUGGCUAAUACCGAAUAAUUCUUCUGAAGGCAUCUUCGGAAGCUAAAAGGGGCCUUUAAAGCCUCGCUGAAUGAUGGACCUGCGGCGCAUUAGCUAGUUGGUGAGAUAAUAGCCCACCAAGGCGAGGAUGCGUAGCCGACCUAAGAGGGUGAACGGCCACACUGGAACUGAGACACGGUCCAGACUCCUACGGGAGGCAGCAGUAGGGAGUUUUCGGCAAUGGGGGAAACCCUGACCGAGCAACGCCGCGUGAACGAUGAAAGGUCUUCGGAUUGUAAAGUUCUGUUAUAAGGGAAGAAUGAUAGCUUGAGGAAAUGCUAGUUAUUUGACGGUACCUUAUUAGAAAGCCACGGCUAACUACGUGCCAGCAGCAGC
rnacentral:rRNA from 1 species